UCCUGUAGCUCAGUAGUAGAGCGUCCGACCAGUGUGCGAAAGGUCAUAGGUAUGACUCCUGUUUGCGGAA
rnacentral:tRNA from 1 species